UGGGGGUUAGCCAGCCUCAGGAACACGUGGCCCAGGGACGCCACCCUCUCCCCUGUGGGGCUUCCACGGAGCCCCCUGGCCUGGCCUGGACGGGACGGGCAGCCACCGCCUGGCCACUGGCUCCCGCUUUGUGACGUCACAGUCUGCUCGGGUGUGGCUGCCAUGGACCCUUCUGGGCGCGGCUACUGAGUUUCCAGAGCAGAACAGAAAGAGGUCGGCAGCCUGGCUCUGGGAGGGGCAGGGGAGCGACACCUCCGUGUGGCCAGGAGGAGCGACGUGAUCAUGCACCCCUGCCUCCCGCAGGCUUCCUCCGAGGCAUGCAUCCCCCAGCAGAAGAGCCAGACACAGCUCACCGCACCCGGGCGGGCACCGGACGGACACCUCUUCCCAACCCCCGGCCGCCCAGUCCCCUGAGCUGAGAUACGGGUCAGGCUCCUCCGCCCGGCCAUCGGCCAUGGACAUCGCCUGGCCUCUGCAUUUCCCUCACAUGUCGCGGCAGGAGGCAAACAGGGUCUCCACGGAGCCAGGAGGGCUGGCGGGACUGCAGUUCCGGCCGGCUCGGCAGCCACACCGCUGAGGGCUGGCGCUGGGGCAGGAUCCACAGUCGGGCGUUCUCGGACCCCAGCAGCUCCUGCCGCACAGGCGGACUCCGACCACCGCCAGGGCGUGGGGGAGGGGUCACAGAUCGGGGUGGAGGGAGCCCCCGCAGGCCCUCUGGCUCCCUCUGCCUCCCUGUGGGCCCCCAGAAUAAAGCAGCAGGCCUGGGUCUCAGACAGGGCAGAACCUGGCAACCGCCAGAGUCCACGUCUCAGAAUAAACCAUCUGCCAGCUCCCCGGGAGAAGCCCUUUCCCCAAAACACGCGCCCUCUACUCGAUUCCGACUGCCCUGAGCAGUGACCUGAGCCCAGACAGGGAGGCAUGGGGGGAGCCCGGAGUGCCUCGCAAAUGCCCGAACCAGGGCUGGCGGGGCGGGGGCGGCGCGAGAGGGAAGCGGUGGGCGUCCCGUCCGCGGCGGCCUGGGUCUCCCCAGUAGCCGGCUCCCAACUUGUUUACUCGCGGCCGAGCGCGCCGGCCCCAGAAGCCAACGGAGGGGCCCUUGGCGGGUCGCGGCCGCCCCCGCCCGCCACCUCCCCGCAGCCGUGCGCCGCCGCUGCUGGGGCGCUGAGCCCGGGCACUUUACGCCACUUGAGCGCGGCCAAACUGUUGCUCCGCCGCGGGGGCAACGAACCCCAUUCGCGGCCGGCCCGGGUCCGCGGUGGGGGCGCGCGCGGGGCCCUGCUCCCGGGGCCCUGGGGGUCCCUCCCCGGAGAGGCGCACGCAGCCCGCGGGUCGCGCCUCGCCAGGGCCCGAGCC